AUUGAACGCUGGCGGCAUGCCUUACACAUGCAAGUCGAACGGCAGCACGGACUUCGGUCUGGUGGCGAGUGGCGAACGGGUGAGUAAUGUAUCGGAACGUACCUUUCAGUGGGGGAUAACGUAGCGAAAGUUACGCUAAUACCGCAUAUUCUGUGAGCAGGAAAGCAGGGGAUCGCAAGACCUUGCGCUGAUUGAGCGGCCGAUAUCAGAUUAGCUAGUUGGUGGGGUAAAGGCCUACCAAGGCGACGAUCUGUAGCGGGUCUGAGAGGAUGAUCCGCCACACUGGAACUGAGACACGGUCCAGACUUCCUACGGGAGGCAGCAGUGGGGAAUUUUGGACAAUGGGGGCAACCCUGAUCCAGCCAUGCCGCGUGAGUGAAGAAGGCCUUCGGGUUGUAAGCUCUUCGGCCGGGAAGAAAUCGCACAGGCUAAUACCCUGUGUGGAUGACGGUACCGGAAGUAAGAAGCACCGGCUAACUACGUGCCAGCACG
rnacentral:rRNA from 1 species